CUCUCACCAUCGGAGGUGGGCAACGUCACCUAAGUGUGACCUAGUAAUGAUUCCAUACGUGUGCGCAAAAUGCCGGUAGUACACAAGCUAACGUAAAGUUAUGGUGAACAUAUUAAGGAUCAUUGGACAUAUUUAUAUCAUCCGUCACGGAUGUUCGCCAACCUUACCGUGGAUUUGACGAUUUUGGCAUGGUCUUGUGGAAGUUUCUCACGGAGAUGAUGUGCCAUGUGGGACGUGUUUUGCAAGGCACUUUUCUCUUGCAGCGGUUGCAAGCCGGCAUUCCAUCUACAAGAACUUUGCCGUCUUCUUCCUUUAGAUAGCCGAAAAAUUCCCACACUGCCGACCUGGUCCGUUUUGGUGGCCUAAAUAGCGGAGAUGCGUCCUCUCCUUCUGCAAUUUCUUGUUCGCCUGCCCUGGAUUCAUAAUUACUGACCCGUGAUGAACCACUUUCUGUUCAAACAGGAACCUGUGGGGCAGCACCCGGAGCGGUGACAGCAGAUGACUGGGCAGGUGGUGGUGGUGGUGGCGGCGGAGAAGGAGGAGGUGGAAGAGAGGACCAGGAACCACUGGUGGAGGGCUGAGCAGGUGGUGGUGGUGGCGGCGGAAGAGAGGACCACCAGGAACCACUGGAGGAGAAUUGGGCAGGUGGUGCAGUGGCGAUGAAGGCAGACAUGACCUCCAGACUCGUCACUGUGGGGUCAAUGACGUCCUCCUGGAAGCCAUCAUCCUCUGCCUCGUCGCCCAGGGCCAAGUCCUCCAGCAGCUGCUCUGUGCCCUCAGACUCAGGAUCCAUGUCCUGCAUGCUGUUCCCCGUCUGCCUGUAGAGGUAGUCGACACCUAUCAACUCUCCUGGGAAUGAAAACAAUAAUGGAAUUAGUAUAACAAGUAUAUCGACAAUGUGUGGAACCCAUAUCUUGGGUCUGAUUAUAGAUAGAAAAUGUGCACCCCACAUUCAUGUCAUUAUUUUAUCAUAGUACUUUCUUGUUAUGACUUAUAUGAAAUAUGUUAACAUAUUUAUUAUUUGAUGACAUGAUCACCUGCAACAGAAUAUAUAUUAUAUAUACUGCAAUAUUAGAAUUUGCAAACAUGCAAAUACGUGAUCUAAUCUGUCUUGCCGAAUUAAAGACAUUUUAUUUCCAACGUACACAUGCCUUGUGGUCAUUUCAUGUCCAAGUGUGAAACACAAGAACACAAAAUAAAACAACAUAUGUUGAGUAUUGCAAGUAA
ensembl:lncRNA